rnacentral:rRNA from 1 species
GCAAGUCGAACGGAAACGAUGAAGAGCUUGCUCUUCAGGCGUCGAGUGGCGGACGGGUGAGUAAUACAUAGGAAUCUGCCCAGUAGCGGGGGACAACCUGGGGAAACCCAGGCUAAUACCGCAUACGCCCUAAGGGGGAAAGCGGGGGAUCUUCGGACCUUGCACUAUUGGAUGAGCCUAUGUCAGAUUAGCUUGUUGGUGGGGUAACGGCCUACCAAGGCGACGAUCUGUAGCUGGUCUGAGAGGACGAUC